rnacentral:rRNA from 1 species
UCGGGAAUCUUCCGCAAUGGACGCAAGUCUGACGGAGCAACGCCGCGUGAGUGAAGAAGGAUUUCGGUUCGUAAAACUCUGUUGUUAGAGAAGAACAGCGCAUAGAGUAACUGUUAUGCGUGUGACGGUAUCUAACCAGAAAGCCACGGCUAACUACGUGCCAGCAGCCGCGGUAAUACGUAGGUGGCAAGCGUUGUCCGGAUUUAUUGGGCGUAAAGCGAGCGCAGGCGGUCAAUUAAGUCUGAUGUGAAAGCCCCCGGCUCAACCGGGGAGGGUCAUUGGAAACUGGUUGACUUGAGUGCAGAAGAGGAGAGUGGAAUUCCAUGUGUAGCGGUGAAAUGCGUAGAUAUAUGGAGGAACACCGGUGGCGAAGGCGACUAUCUGGUCUGUAACUGACGCUGAGGCUCGAAAGCGUGGGUAGCAAACAGG